UCUCCGUUGGUGAACCAGCGAAGGGAUCAUUACCGAGUGCAAACUCAUAACCCUUUGUGAACCUAUUUCUGUUGCUUCGGCGCCUCGCUCUCGGGCGUGCCCGCCGGUAAUAUCAGUAUCUCUGUUUGAACCCGACGAUACUUCUGAGUGUUCUUAGCGAACAGUUAAAACUUUUAACAACGGAUCUCUUGGCUCUA
rnacentral:misc_RNA from 1 species